UGGUAAAUGGUUAGGCCUGACGAAAAAGGCACAAACCAUAAGCAAUUGAGGGAAAGGGUCAAGGUUCAGAUUUCCCUCAUGUGUUCACAUGUUCAAAAAUUGAAUAAGAAACUAUCAUCUUCCAUCGCGCCGGAAUCCGUCGACGGCGGAGACCUACACUACCAGAACCACAUGACAAUCUCCUUGUUUCCAUGCCCUGAUCUUAAAUUCACCUUCCAUUUCUCCAACUCGAGAACGAAUCAACCAUACCGAAGACCUAUCUAUAUGAACCCUAAAUGCCAAAAUGCAAAUUAAAUGAUGCUCAAGAGCCAUACAAAGACCAAAGCAUGGGCCUUUAGCUCCCAAGACGAAGCAAUACAUUGCAGUAUCUUUAGAUUGGAGAAAAAGAAUGGAAAGUAAUUACCUACCGGAGCAACUCCGGUGGUUCUUCACCGGUGAAAAUGAGGUUCAGGGGUGUGGUUUUAAUGGUGAUUACAGGAAGAAAGCUUUGCAUUGGGUGGACUAUUUUUGUAGCAGGAUGGUCAUACCUGAUGCAAUGCUUGUGGUUAAGCCUACUGCCAACCCAUAGGUCAUGGUUAUGCAGGUUUACUACACAAGUUCUAGGACUACUGCUUGGUCUGCAACAUGCCAUGCAACUCUGGUCAUGGUUAUCUUCAUGAAUGCAUGGUGGUUUCUUUUGAACUGAACUGGCUUUUCUAGAGUUUCUUGUAUGUGAACCGGUACUUAUGUUGUAAGAUGUAGGGAUUGCUAUGUUGCUUUGUUAUGUAUGCCUAGUGAAUAUCCUUCCUUAGACCAUUGUUACCAUCCAUGCCAAUGACUGCAUUGCAGGAUAUUGCUAGAACAGGGUUGCAGGUUUGUUGGCCAGCUUAACAUUGAUGCAUGUGCUUGGACUGUUACUGAUUUUCUAUGAUUGGUUUACUGCUUGGUUGAGGUAUGCAAUGUUGCAAGUCUGAACUUUGACUUGGUUCUGCAGGGUCAUUGCAGAAUGGUAAGCUUUUGUUGCUUGGAACUUGUUGUUUUGUUGCUAACUGUUACAAUGACAUGUUGUAGUGCAGGACUCACUGCUAGAUGCAUUCAAAAGUGCAUAAAACUAUGUGGCCUGCUGCAGAACCAUGAACGUCAACUGAUGUGUCAUGCCUUAUUUGUCAUUCAUGUGUUGCAUGGUGCUGGAUUGAUGGCAUUGGUUGCAGGCCUCUUCAAUGCCUUGACUCUGUAUGCACAAUUUGCUCAUGAUUCUGGUGAAGUCAUAUUCAACCUUGGCUUGGUUUUGUACAACAUGGUGCCUCCAAAUGUGUGUUGCUAGGUUGGUUGGCAUGGUUAUGCACAUGGAAGAUGAUGAUUGAACCAACACUUUGCAACAUGACCAAGAUUGGAAUUUGAAAACAUACAUGAAAAAGAACAAGGAUUCAAGGUCAAGGAUCUAAAUUUGAUCUUAGGAUUGGAGUUAGAACUAGGACUUAGGGUUUUGGAAGAUUGGGUUGACUUUGGUCAAAGUUGACCAAAAAGUCAAUUGUUGACCAAAGUCAACAUCUGGUCAAAGUUUAUUUUUUAUAUUUUUCUCCUGUAAUGGACACUUGUAUAUAAUGAAUGUGAUUGAUAUUUUGGAUGAAAUGGAUUAGAUUAAAUUCUAUUA